rnacentral:rRNA from 1 species
GCGCACCAGUCGCGAAUCCUUCGCAAUGCAGGAAACUGCGACGAGGGAACUCCAAGUGCCUACGCUCAGCGUAGGCUGUUCUCAAGCCUAGAAAGCUUGAGGAGUAAGGGGCUGGGUAAGACGGGUGCCAUCUGUGGUAGCAGUCAAUAGAUUCGAUUUUGUUACUGCAAGGCAUAAGCCGCCGCGGUAAUACCCGCAGCCCAAGUGGUGGCCGCUUUUAUUGGGCCUAAAGCGUCCGUAGCCGGCCCGGUAAUGCCUGGGUAAAUCGUGGACCCCAACUUCACGAAUUCCGGUAGACUGCCGAGC